rnacentral:tRNA from 1 species
GCCAAGGUAGCUCAGAGACGCUAGUCGCCGGGAAACCUGGGAGAGCCCCCGGCUGAAGACCGGGUUGUCGUCGGUUCAAAUCCGACCCUUGGCA